rfam:Pseudomonas alcaligenes NBRC 14159 DNA, contig: PA6011.
CAGCAGAGGCGGCGGUAUUCCAAAUACGUUUAAGAAACCGCCCAAACCAAUCUGGACGAUCGGAAUUCCUGGCCAAUACUGGAACUACUGGUGUGCGGCAUCUCCCCCCAAGUGCCCCGCCAGUCUGGGUACCGUGGAUCGCGUACCUUGUUUUACUCCUAAUGGUCUUGACCCGGAUUCAUCCCCCAGAACCCGG